rnacentral:rRNA from 1 species
CCUACGGGAGGCAGCAGUGGGGAAUAUUGGGCAAUGGAGGAAACUCUGACCCAGCGACGCCGCGUGCGGGAUGAAGGCCUUCGGGUUGUAAACCGCUUUCAGUAGGGAAGAAGCGAAAGUGACGGUACCUACAAAAGAAGCACCGGCUAACUAUGUGCCAGCAGCCGCGGUAAUACAUAGGGUGCAAGCGUUGUCCGGAAUUAUUGGGCGUAAAGAGCUCGUAGGUCGUUUGUUACGUCGGAUGUGAAAACCUGAGGCUCAACCUCAGGCCUGCAUUCGAUACGGGCAAACUAGAGUUUGGUAGGGGAGACUGGAAUUCCUGGUGUAGCGGUGGAAUGCGCAGAUAUCAGGAGGAACACCAAUGGCGAAGGCAGGUCUCUGGGGCCAAUACUGACACUGAGGAGCGAAAGUCUGGGGAGCGAACAGGAUUAGAUACCCUGGUAGUCCAGACCGUAAACGGUGGGCACUAGUUGUGGGAACCUUCCACGGUUUCUGCGACGCAGCUAACGCAUUAAGUGCCCCGCCUGGGGAGUACGAUCGCAAGAUUAAACUCAAA